rnacentral:rRNA from 1 species
AAUCUGCCUUGUUGUGGGGGAUAACGUAGGGAAACUUACGCUAAUACCGCAUAAGACCUUAGGGUGAAAGCGGAGGACCUUCGGGCUUCGCGCGACAAGAUGAGCCGAUGUCGGAUUAGCUAGUUGGCGGGGUAAAGGCCCGCCAAGGCGACGAUCCGUAGCUGGUCUGAGAGGAUGAUCAGCCACACUGGAACUGAGACACGGUCCAGACUCCUACGGGAGGCAGCAGUGGGGAAUAUUGGACAAUGGGCGCAAGCCUGAUCCAGCCAUGCCGCGUGUGU